CUACGGGCCGCUGCAGUAGGGAAUUUUCCACAAUGGGCGAAAGCCUGAUGGAGCGACGCCGCGUGCAGGAUGAAUGCCUUCGGGUUGUAAACUGCUUUUCUUUGUGAUGAAAAUGACAGUAGCAGAGGAAUAAGCCUCGGCUAACUCCGUGCCAGCAGCCGCGGUCAUACGGAGGAGGCAAGCGUUAUCCGGAGUGACUGGGCGUAAAGAGAUGCGUAGGCGGUCUUUUAAGCGAAACAUGAAAUCUAACGGCUCAACCGUUUUACUGUGUUUCGAACUGGAAGACUAGAGUACGGAAGAGGAAGCUGGAAUUCCCGGUGUAGGAGUGAAAUCCGUAGAUAUCGGGAGGAACACCAAUGGCGAAGGCAGGCUUCUGGUCCGUUACUGACGCUGAGGCUCGAAAGCGUGGGGAGCAAACGGGAUUAGAUACCCCGGUAGUC
rnacentral:rRNA from 1 species